rnacentral:rRNA from 1 species
CACGUAGGGUGCGAGCGUUGUCCGGAAUUAUUGGGCGUAAAGAGCUCGUAGGCGGUGUGUCGCGUCGGCCGUGAAAACCUGCAGCUUAACUGUGGGCUUGCGGUCGAUACGGGCAUCACUGGAGUUCGGCAGGGGAGACUGGAAUUCCUGGUGUAGCGGUGAAAUGCGCAGAUAUCAGGAGGAACACCGGUGGCGAAGGCGGGUCUCUGGGCCGAUACUGACGCUGAGGAGCGAAAGCGUGGGGAGCAAACAGGG